GAGUGAAAUGAUGCCUUACCAUCUUUCGGGACUUACCCAACACAUGGGGAUAAUUUUAUUUCCUUACUGAUCACUC